GAUGAACGCUGGCGGCGUGCCUAAUACAUGCAAGUCGAGCGAACAGACGAGGAGCUUGCUCCUUUGACGUUAGCGGCGGACGGGUGAGUAACACGUAGGUAACCUACCUAUAAGACUGGGAUAACUUCGGGAAACCGGAGCUAAUACCGGAUAAUAUUUCGAACCGCAUGGUUCGAUAGUGAAAGAUGGCUUUGCUAUCACUUAUAGAUGGACCUGCGCCGUAUUAGCUAGUUGGUAAGGUAACGGCUUACCAAGGCAACGAUACGUAGCCGACCUGAGAGGGUGAUCGGCCACACUGGAACUGAGACACGGUCCAGACUCCUACGGGAGGCAGCAGUAGGGAAUCUUCCGCAAUGGGCGAAAGCCUGACGGAGCAACGCCGCGUGAGUGAUGAAGGUCUUCGGAUCGUGAAACUCUGUUAUUAGGGAAGAACAAACGUGUAAGUAACUGUGCACGUCUUGACGGUACCUAAUCAGAAAGCCACGGCUAACUACGUG
rnacentral:rRNA from 1 species